rnacentral:rRNA from 1 species
CAGCCGCCGCGGGAAUACCGAGGGUGCAAGCGUUAAUCGGAAUUACUGGGCGUAAAGCGCGCGUAGGUGGUUUGUUAAGUUGGAUGUGAAAUCCCCGGGCUCAACCUGGGAACUGCAUCCAAAACUGGCAGGCUAGAGUAGGGCAGAGGGUGGUGGAAUUUCCUGUGUAGCGGUGAAAUGCGUAGAUAUAGGAAGGAACACCAGUGGCGAAGGCGACCACCUGGGCUCAUACUGACACUGAGGUGCGAAAGCGUGGGGAGCAAACAGGAUUAGAUACCCCCGUAGUCCCUGUCUCUUAUAC